rnacentral:rRNA from 1 species
CCUACGGGUGGCAGCAGUGAGGAAUAUUGGUCAAUGGGCGGAAGCCUGACCCAGCAACGCCGCGUGAAGGAAGAAGGCUUUCGGGUUGUAAACUUCUUUUCUCAGGGACGAAGCAAGUGACGGUAACUGAGGAAUAAGCCACGGCUAACUACGUGCCAGCAGCCGCGGUAAUACGGAGGGGGCAAGUGUUAUGCGGAUUUACUGGGGGGAAAGGGCGUGUAGGCGGGACUGCAAGUCAGAUGUGAAAACCACGGGCUCAACCUGUGGCCUGCAUUUGAAACUGUCGUUCUUGAGUACUGGAGAGGCAGAUGGAAUUCCUAGUGUAGCGGUGAAAUGCGUAGAGAUUAGGAGGAACACUAGUUGCGAAGGCGGUCUGCUAGACAGCAACUGACGCUGAUGCGCGAAAGCGUGGGGAGCAAACAGGAUUAGAUACCCCGGUAGUC